AUACGGAGGAUCCGAGCGUUAUCCGGAUUUAUUGGGUUUAAAGGGUGCGCAGGCGGCCAUUUAAGUCAGCGGUUAAAUCGUGGGGCUCAACCCCAUUCUGCCGUUGAUACUGGGUGGCUUGAUUGCGGUCGAGGUUGGCGGAAUUCGUUGUGAAGCGGCGGAAUGCAUAGAUAUGACGAAGAACACUGAUUGCGUAGGCAGCUGACCAGACCGCAAAUGACGCUCAUGCACGAAAGUGCGGGGAUCGAACAGGAUUAGAUACCCUGGUAGUCCGCACAGUAAACGAUGAAUACUUAUUUUCGGCGAUAUAAUGUCGGAGGCAAAGCGAAAGCGAUAAGUAUUCCACCUGGGGAGUACACCGGCAACGGUGAAACUCAAAUGAAUUGGCGGGG
rnacentral:rRNA from 1 species